GGGAAAAUCACUCUAUGUUUUUUCUCUCACAAAGUAUGAUAAAUCUGGGCCAAGGUCUCUAAAAACAGGGAUUAAAGCAACAGCGGUAGCAAGAAGCAGGUGCUUGGACAUCUUGUGAGACUUGAAAGACAGCAGGAAGUCACAUAAGUCCUUCACAGGAGCGAGUGACCAGCUGCACUGCCCUGGGACAUGCGGUUAAGAUAAGUGACACUGGACGCCAUGCCGGAUCAUUAUUCCUGAACACCUGGGAUGAGGCAUUAGCUCAAUAGCUGGAGACGUGUAGAUGACCGAAGUUCAGCUGAUGAUGGCCUGUCCAUUAUAGCUGGGCACUGUGCCCCAUACUGCCAAAUGCUAAAAGGAAAAAGCACAGGGAGCAGAGUAAUAUUUAAUUUAACCCAUUCUGGUUGGGUGAAGAUACUGUAGGUCAAAUUAAUUGCCACAUGGAGUACAUCAAAGUAUAUGGCAAUGGCUCCCAAACUGGAGAACCAAAGGUUGGGGAACAGUGGCCUACAGCAUGAAGCUAAAGGAAUGAUGUCAAUGAGGUGAAUCUGCUUUUGUAGUCUAGAGCAGAGGUAGAAAAGAGGAACCAACAUCAGGGGUACCGGUUCAUUUUCUGCAGUCUACAAAAUGAGUGUUGACUUGGACCUUUCCCAGCAUGCUGUGUGGCUCGAGACAAUACAUCACAAGGGGCCUCGUCUGCCUCGUCUGCAUCGUCUGUUGUAUGUGAAGCCAGCUACCUGAUGAUGUUACCGGCGUGCAUUCACCAUUACACAGAUCCACGGCUGGUGUGUCAGAUGAUGUCAAGCAAGUCAUAUUAUCAAAGGGAGCGUGGCUGUGCUGCAAUGGGUUGGGUGACCGAUCUGUGAAAGGGAAAUAAGUCAUCUUCCACCAUAGAAACAAAGGAUCUGGGGAUUUUAGUCCGAGGGAGAUCACAGAAACCAGGAAGAUGCCACUUCCCAAAAACAAGCCAGCAGCGUGAUGAGGGACACAGGACACGGUCAUUUACCACAAACACAAGCACAAAUCCUUGGUAAGCAUGUCCAUUACUGUAUGGCACUUCAUUCUAAAGACAUCUAAUGUUGGAUGAACCUUUUACCUUCUGGGGUAACCACUUAAAGCCAAUGGUAUUCAACCUGUGACUAUAAUAGCAUGCUGGGAGUUGUUGUUUUGCAGCCCCAUUUUAAUAGACGAGGAUGAUAUUCCGGGCUGUGGACUUUCCUUCUCUUUCAUUUCCGAGUGUUCUCACUGCGGCGGGCAAUAUUGUUGUUGUUUUUGUUUUGUUUUUUCCUUUUAAAACAACUACAUUAGAAUUUGCAUUAGUAAGAAAUUAAGACAUUUAAUUUGAUGUUGCAGCUAAGUCUUACUGUCCUCCUUGUGAUAAAUGAUUCAUUUCAUGUAAUGUUUGUAAUGGUACAGCGGGGCGAUCGGAAGAUAAAAAUCUCUGCUUAAAUACCAAUAUCCUGUCCUUCUGUCUGCACUUUAUGACUCUGCCUUCAGAUCCUAUUCACUAAGCCAAUCGAAGUUUUAA